GGGGAUGAGGCUCAGUGGUAGAGCACUUGUCUGGCAUGCAUGAGGCCCUGGGUUUGAUUCUCAGCACUACAA
rnacentral:tRNA from 1 species